UACGUAGGGUCCGAGCGUUGUCCGGAAUUAUUGGGCGUAAAGGGCUCGUAGGCGGUUCGUCACGUCGGGAGUGAAAACUCGGAGCUUAACUCCGAGCCUGCUUCCGAUACGGGCAGACUAGAGGUAGGCAGGGGAGAGCGGAACUCCUGGUGUAGCGGUGAAAUGCGCAGAUAUCAGGAAGAACACCCGUGGCGAAGGCGGCUCUCUGGGACGGUACUGACGCUGAGACGCGAAAGCGUGGGGAGCGAACAGG
rnacentral:rRNA from 1 species